GCCCCUUAAAUAGGGACUCGUAUCAACGGCAUCACGAGGGUUAUACUGUCUCCCCCAUCUAAUCAGUGAAACUGACCUCCCCGUGAAGAGGCGAGGAUAAAACUACAAGACGAGAAGACCCCAUGGAGCUUUAAACCCAAUGACAACCCCACUUAAAUAUUCCCACAUAAAGAUAAAGCAAUGUACAUUGGUUUUAGGUUGGGGUGACCACGGAGCAAAACUAAACCUCCAUGACGAAUGGAAAUUCAUCCUAAUCCACGAGCUGCCACUCUAAGAAUCAAAAAUUUGACGUAAUCUGAUCCGGCAACCGAUCAACGAACCAAGUUACCCUGGGGAUAACAGCGCAAUCCAUUUCAAGAGCUCCUAUCGACAAAUGGGUUUACGACCUCGAUGUUGGAUCAGGGUAUCCCAGUGGUGCAGCCGCUACUAAAGGUUUGUUUGUUCAACAAUUAAAACCCU
rnacentral:rRNA from 1 species